rnacentral:rRNA from 1 species
UACGGAGGGGGCCAGCGUUGUUCGGAAUCAUUGGGCGUAAAGGGCGCGUAGGCGGCCGAUCAAGUCCGACGUGAAAUUCCUCGGCUCAACCGAGGGCCUGCGUCGGAUACUGCUCGGCUUGAGUCCCGGAGAGGGUAGUGGAAUUCCCAGUGUAGCGGUGAAAUGCGUAGAUACUGGGAGGAACACCGGUGGCGAAGGCGGCUACCUGGACGGGUACUGACGCUGAGGCGCGAAAGCUAGGGGAGCAAAC